AGUGAACGCUGGCGGUGUGCCUAAUACAUGCAAGUCGAGCGAACAGACGGUGAGCUUUCUCCUUUGACGUUGGCGGGGGGCGGGUGAGUAAGGCGUGGAUAAGCUACUUCUAUGUCGUGGGGAAUUUCGGAAGACCAGAGAUGAUACUAGAGAAUAUAAUCUACCGGAUGGUUCAGUAGUGAUAGACGGCUUUCGCGUUACAUAUAGAUGGUUCCGGGUCGCAUUAGCUAGUUGGUAAGGUAACGGCAUACCAAGGCAACGAUGCGUAGCUGACCUGAGAGGGUGAUCGGCCACACUGGAACUGAGACACGGUCCAGACUCCUACGGGAGGCAGCAGUAGGGAAUAUUCGGCAAUGGGCGAAAGCCUGACGGAGCAACACCGCGUGAGUGAUGAAGGUCUUCGGAUUGUAAAACCCUGUUAUUAGGGAAGAAAAACUGUGUAAGUAACUAUCGACGUCUUGACGGUACCUAAUCAGAAAGCAACGGCUAACUACGUG
rnacentral:rRNA from 1 species